rnacentral:rRNA from 1 species
AUGGCUUCCACGUUGGACUAUCUGAAUAUGCGACAAAACCAAAUUAGCGGUUCUCUGCCAUAUACAAUUGAACUUAUGAGAGCAGUUGCAGUCGAUCUUAGUUCUAACAACUUGAGUGGCCCAAUACCUAAGCUUCCCAUCACUCUAUUGUACUUGGAUCUUAGUAGGAAUAAUUUAGACGGGCCACUACCACUAGAUUUUGGAGCACCAAAUCUACAAACACUUAUUCUAUUUAACAACUCCAUCUCUGGCACCAUUCCCUCUUCUUUGUGCAAACUGCGUUUACUACGCCUGUUGGAUAUUUCUGAAAAUAAGCUAUCAGGAUCUAUUCCUGAUUGCUCUGCCGAUACAUCCACAACAAACAUAAAAAAUAUGAGUAUUAUUAAUCUAAGCUUGAGAAACAACCUCCUCUCAGGUGAUUUUCCUUCAUUUCUCCGAUACUGCCGACAACUCCUCUUUCUCGACCUUGCACACAACCAUUUCUUUGGGACUUUACCAGCAUGGAUUUGGGACAAAUUGCCAGAUUUGGCUUUCUUAAGACUACGGUCCAAUAUGUUUUAA